AUUGAACGCUGGCGGCAGGCCUAACACAUGCAAGUCGAACGCGUGGCGGACGGGUGAGUAAUGUCUGGGAACCUGCCUGAAGGAGGGGGAUAACUCCUGGAACCGGUGGCUAAUACCGCAUACCAUCGGAUGUGCCCAGAUGGGAUUAGCUAGUAGGUGGGGUAAAGGCUCACCAAGGCGACGCGCCCUAGCUGGUCUGAGAGGAUGACCGGCCACACUGGAACUGAGACACGGUCCAGACUCCUACGGGAGGCAGCAGUGGGGAAUAUUGCACAAUGGGCGAAAGCCUGACGCAGCAAUGCCGCGUGUAUGAAGAAGGUCUUCGGGUUGUAAAGUACUUUCAUCGGGGAGGCGGUACCCGCAGAAGAAGCACCGGCUAACUCCGUGCCAGCAGCCGCGGUAAUAC
rnacentral:rRNA from 1 species